rnacentral:rRNA from 1 species
UACGAAGGGGGCUAGCGUUGCUCGGAAUUACUGGGCGUAAAGGGCGCGUAGGCGGACAGUUUAGUCAGAGGUGAAAGCCCAGGGCUCAACCUUGGAAUUGCCUUUGAUACUGGCUGUCUUGAGUUCGGGAGAGGUGAGUGGAAUGCCGAGUGUAGAGGUGAAAUUCGUAGAUAUUCGGCGGAACACCAACGGCGAAAGCACUCUGCUGGGCCGACACUGACACUGAGAGACGAAAGCUAGGGGAGCGAAUGGG